AUUGAACGCUGGCGGCAGGCUUAACACAUGCAAGUCGAGCGGAGCGAGGGUGCUUGCAACUUAGCUUAGCGGCGGACGGGUGAAUAAUGCUUAGGAAUCUGCCUAUUAGUGGGGUACAACAUUCCGAAAGGAAUGCUCAUACCGCAUACGCCGUACGGGGGAUAGCAGUGGAUCUUCGCACCUUGCGCUAAUAGAUGAACAUAAGUCGGAUUAGCUGGUUGGUGGUGUAAAGGCCUACCAAGGCGAUGAGCGGUCACUGGGCUGAGAGGACGACCAGUCACACUGGGAUUGAGAAACGGCCCAGACUCCUACGGGAGGCAGCAGUGUGAAAUAUUGGACAAUGGGGGCAACCCUGAUCCAGCGAUGCCGCGUGAGUGAAGAAGGCCUUCGGGUCGUAAAGCUCUUUAGGUUGGGACGAAGGAUAUAUGAGGAAAUGCGUAUACUUUGACGGUACCGGCAGAAUAAGCACCGGCAAACUCUGUGCCAGCAGCCGCAGUAA
rnacentral:rRNA from 1 species